rnacentral:rRNA from 1 species
CAGUCGCCACGGGAAUACGUAGGGUGCGGGCGUCAAUCGGAAUUACUGGGCGUAAAGCGUGCGCAGGCGGUUUUGUAAGACAGGCGUGAAAUCCCCGGGCUCAACCUGGGAAUGGCGCUUGUGACUGCAAAGCUAGAGUGCGGCAGAGGGGGAUGGAAUUCCGCGUGUAGCAGUGAAAUGCGUAGAUAUGCGGAGGAACACCGAUGGCGAAGGCAAUCCCCUGGGCCUGCACUGACGCUCAUGCACGAAAGCGUGGGGAGCAAACAGGAUUAGAUACCCCGGUAGUCCCUGUCUCUUAUAC